GACGAACGCUGGCGGCGUGCUUAACACAUGCAAGUCGAACGGAAAGGCCCUGCUUUUGUGGGGUGCUCGAGUGGCGAACGGGUGAGUAACACGUGAGUAACCUGCCCUUGACUUUGGGAUAACUUCAGGAAACUGGGGCUAAUACCGGAUAGGAGCUCCUGCUGCAUGGUGGGGGUUGGAAAGUUUCGGCGGUUGGGGAUGGACUCGCGGCUUAUCAGCUUGUUGGUGGGGUAGUGGCUUACCAAGGGUUUGACGGGUAGCCGGCCUGAGAGGGUGACCGGCCACAUUGGGACUGAGAGACGGCCCAGACUCCUACGGGAGGCAGCAGUGGGGAAUAUUGCACAAUGGGCGGAAGCCUGAUGCAGCAACGCCGCGUGCGGGAUGACGGCCUUCGGGUUGUAAACCGCUUUCGCCUGUGACGAAGCGUGAGUGACGGUAAUGGGUAAAGAAGCACCGGCUAACUACGUG
rnacentral:rRNA from 1 species